AUCUACGGCCAUGCCACCCUGAACAAGCCCGAUCCCAUCUGAUCUCAGAAGCUAAGCAGGGUUAGGCUUGGUUAGUACUUGGAUGCUUGACUACCUAGGAAGACCAGGUGCUGUAGGCA
rnacentral:rRNA from 1 species